rnacentral:tRNA from 1 species
GGGCUUAUGGUCUAGGGGUAUGAUUUUCCCUUCGCAUCUUCAAUUCGACAUCGUCGGAAGAAAGAGCAUGGGAAAGGUCCGGGGUUCAAUUCCCCGUGAGUCCA